rnacentral:rRNA from 1 species
UUAGCCGGCCGAUAGCUUUCUGCAGCUCUCACAUGGUCGCCCACUAAAGCUAAGCAGGGUUGCGCCCGAUCAGUACCUGGAUGGAGACCACAUGGGAAAGCUAGGUUGCUGCCGGAA